AGCAGUCGCCGCGGUAAUACGGAGGGGGCUAGCGUUGUUCGGAAUUACUGGGCGUAAAGCGCACGUAGGCGGCUUGGUAAGUUAGAGGUGAAAGCCUGGAGCUCAACUCCAGAAUUGCCUUUAAGACUGCCGAGCUAGCAGGUGAGAGAGGUAAGUGGAAUUCCGAGUGUGGAGGUGAAAUUCGUAGAUAUUCGGAAGAACACCAGUGGCGAAGGCGGCUUACUGGCUCAUACUGGACGCUGAGGUGCGAAAGCGUGGGGAGCAAACAGGAUUAGAGACCCCCGUAGUCCCUGUCUCUUAUAC
rnacentral:rRNA from 1 species